rnacentral:rRNA from 1 species
UACAGAGGUCCCGAGCGUUGUGCGGAUUCACUGGGCGUAAAGGGUGCGUAGGCGGUCGGGUAAGUCUGAUGUGAAAUCUCACAGCUUAACUGUGAAACUGCAUUGGAUACUAUUCGGCUUGAGAGUUGGAGGGGGGACUGGAAUUCUUGGUGUAGCAGUGAAAUGCGUAGAUAUCAAGAGGAACACCAGUGGCGAAGGCGAGUCCCUGGACAACUUCUGACGCUGAGGCACGAAAGCUAGGGGAGCAAACAGG